rnacentral:lncRNA from 1 species
AUUCUCUUAAAGGUAUCCAGCAGCUGGCAGGAAAACCAGCCAUGGGACCCGGAGAGUUCCCGAGUGGGUGCCAGGAGGCAGCUGUGCAAGCUGGAUGUAACUAAGCCCUCCAUGGGCACUCCGUGACCCAGGGUCUGUCACUCCGUGUCCUGGAGCAUGCUUUCUUCAGAGAGGCCUCCUUCACCUUGCUCAGAACCGGCUUUCCAGGAGGUUCCCACGCCUAGCUGCCCUGGCAGACACCCAGGGAGGAAAGGCAGCGUGGCCUUGGCAGCUGCCUGCCAGUAAGGAGUCCACAGGUGCCAGGGAGAAGCCAUUGCCCUGUCCUGACCCCCUUCGGCAACCCUGGUGCCUUGCACGGGGCCGAGUCCUCAGGGAUGAUGACAUAGAUCAAUUAAUCAGCACACACUGACGAUGCCUGUUGACUCUGGAUCUCCUGACUCUUACGGCCUCAUCUGAGAUAAAGGGCAGCUCCUGUCUUUCCUCUCCUCACCAAGGAUAAUGCUUGGGGAAGCCUUGGCAGGGAAACUCAUAAACAUCCCCAAAGGUCACUGAAUGCUAAAGCGAUCUGCCCUACUC